AACUCUCCCUAGUUAACCACUUGCCAUGUGAUUGUUCCUAAAUAUUUCAGAGAAAAAUGAGACAUAAAAGGGUUUGUCCAGAAACAGAAGCUUUGCAUUUCACUUCUUCUGGGAGGGAUAAAGACACAUUUUACAAAAGAUUCAUCAACAAGGAGAAAGGACCAACUCCAUUCAUCGCAUAGCAGUCCACAACUACCAGAAAAGAUCUCACAGACAUCUCACAGAGUGUUAUCUGUGUUUACCCAGAAAUGACUGACACUCACCUGAGUCACAUUCCAGAGGAAUUAUGCAUUGGUGAAAUGAUCCAGUCAGAGCAGAAAAAUGUUCCAGGAGAACAAACAGAACAACACCAUGAAGUAAAAAACCAAGGACAAGAUACACAUACAGACAUACUCUGUUCAUCACAUACCAGUACACAAACAACAGAUGAGAUGGAUAACUUAGAGAGUAUACUCAGUAUUCACCAAGAAAUGACUGGCACUAACCUGAGGGAUGAGUAUUUAUAAACAUGUUGCAGCUCAAGAGGAGUAUUGCGACUCAGAUGCAGAUGUCCAGUCUGUGCAGAGUACUACCACAUGUCAAGAAGGCAAGAUCUUAGGUUGCAUGCAGUGUAUAACACUAACAAUGUAAAUUACUUUAUUCAAC